UACGUAGGGCGCAAGCGUUAUCCGGAAUUAUUGGGCGUAAAGAGCUCGUAGGCGGUUUGUCGCGUCUGCUGUGAAAACUCGGGGCUUAACCCCGGGCCUGCAGUGGGUACGGGCAGACUAGAGUGUGGUAGGGGAGACUGGAAUUCCUGGUGUAGCGGUGAAAUGCGCAGAUAUCAGGAGGAACACCGAUGGCGAAGGCAGGUCUCUGGGCCAUAACUGACGCUGAGAAGCGAAAGCAUGGGGAGCGAACAGG
rnacentral:rRNA from 1 species